GACCCGCUCCCCAUGUAGAUAUGAAGGACUCAUUCUAAGCUAAUGAAAACACAACGAUUCUUAGUUUGAGGUGGUUACACAUUAAUGAAAACAUAAUUAUGUAUAUUAUAUUCCAUUUCUGCUAAUAGAUCCCCAGAAAUGUUACACACUGUUCCUUUAAAGAAGACUUUCCUUUGGGUUGAGAUUUAUAAUCAUCUAAUUCUACUUCAAACACUUUUUCAGCUUUAGAAGUUGCAGUUUGCACAUUUGUUUUCAUUUAAAACCCGUGUUUCUACACUGCCCUUUUUCUUACUGUUGAUACUGUUUUUGAUAUUUUAUUUAUUUUCUAAAGAUUAAGCUCAACAGUGAAUAUAGGUUGAUAACCAGAGAGGAAUAU